GUUCUUUUGGCACUGCAUGAAGUCGAACAAGCCUUUUAGUGCUAGCCUCAAGGUCACUGUUAUUAUCAGAGCAGUUUUAGAGAAACCAAAUCUAACAAAGUUUUGCUUAUAACAAGAAAGAGCUGCAGUGGGACUUGAUGUUCCAGUACCGGCGGUUUGACUGACAGCUCCGGCACGAUGCGGUAGACUCUGGAGAGGAAGAUGAACUCUACAAUGAGGGACACCAGAUUCCAUCCCAAGAUGAAGCCACAGCCAACCACAUUAGAGGCCAGAGUCAUUACCUGACCCACUGCCAGUGGUGCCAGGAUGUUGGUCACCUGAUCGAUCCGCCUCAUGGUCGCAUUCAUUCCUGCAUCCGAAAACAUUGAUUUCAAAAUAAUCCAUUUAAAUAUCACAUGCUCAAACUAU